GCUGGCAACGCGGUGGGCAGGCCGGGUAGGCGCGCAGGGCUGCCUGGCCGACUGAGGUCGCAGCUUGGGGAACCCGCGGAAAUGGCCAGAGUGGCAGAACCCGGGGACAUAGAAGUCGAAGGGACCCAACCUCUGAGGAGUUGAGACCGGUCUCUCUGGGGGUUUAUGCCUGGCAGGAGAGGAACAUUCAGCAGCCCGUGCUUUCUCAGCAAUCUUAACUUCUCCUCAGGGGAUCCUUAGCCCUGUGGCUGAUGGACUGCGAGAUUGUCACAGUGAUUUUGCCUAGCUUGUGCAAGAUCACACCUGGGGCUGGGAACAGCCAAUUGCUGCUAUGUAGAUUCAUUUGGUUCAGCAAAUACUUAUUGAAAGGACUCCUUUAUGUGCCAACCACAGGAAACCAAAAGAUGAAUAAAAGAAGACCCUGCCCUCACAAGAAUGGCUCCCACUCCCUAAUCCCUGGAACCUGUGAAUAUGUUACAUAACAUGGCAAAAGGGACUUUGCAGAUGUAAUUAAAGUGGUAGACCUUAAAAUAGGGAGAUUAUCCUGGAUUGUGUGGGUGGCCCAAUCUAAUCACAUGAGUUCUUAAAAGCAGAGCCUUUGCUUGGGUUAUAAGCAGAAGAGAUGUGACAGCAAGAGAAGUCAGAGAGAUUCAAAGCAUGAAAAGGAUUCAACAUGCUAGAAGAUGGAAGGGCCUGUGACAAGGAAUGCAGGUGACCUUCAGGAGCUGAGAGAGCUUCUGGCUGACAGCCAGGGAGGAAAUGAGACCCCUGCCCUACAACUGCUAGGAAUUGAAUUCGGCCAACAACCUGAAUGAUCUUGGAAGCAGAUUUCAUCUGCAAAGCCUCCAGAGAAGAAUGCAGCCACGCUGACACCUGGCUUUUGUCCUUAUGAGACUCUAAGCAGAGGGCUCAGCUGGGCCACGCUAUACCCAGACUUCUGGACUACAGGACCGUGAGACAACAAAUGGAUAUUUUAAGCCACUAAAUUUAUAGUAAUUUUUUACAGCAGCAGUGGAAAACCCAUACAUGUACCAAACCUUGAAAUCUGGUAUGUAUGUUACACUUACAGCCCAUUUCCCUGUGGACUGUCCACACUUCAAGUAUUCGAUAGACCAAGAGGAGUAAGAUGUCUAGAAAGUACUAAGCUUGUAGGCUAAAUAUAAUGUCACCAUGUGGAGAGAGAAGAGGAGCAAGGAAGGGAGGAAACGGGCAGGAUCUCUCCUUAUUCCCCAUCCUUGCCCCAUGUGAAUGGGGUAAUCUUGCUGACACAGAAAAUAGCCUAAAUCUUACGCAUCAGAUUGUCAAAACUCAUUGGACUCUCAUAUUUUUGCUUUUAUUACCUUGAGGCUAUUAAUAAAGUCUUUUUUGAAUAUUC